rnacentral:rRNA from 1 species
CCCUUAGAUGUUCUGGGCCGCACGCGCGCUACACUGAUGCAUUCAACGAGUCUAAAACCUGGUCUGAUAGGGCUGGGUAAUCUUUUGAAUGUGCAUCGUGAUUGGGAUAGAUGAUUGCAAUUCUUCAUCUUCAACGAGGAAUGCCUAGUAAACGCAAGUCAUCAGCUUGCAUUGAUUACGUCCCUGCCCUUUGUACACACCGCCCGUCGCUCCUACCGAUUGAAUGAUCCGAUGAAUAUCAUGGAUUGAGGAUGCAAGUAGGUUAGCCUAUCUUCAUCUUCGAGAAGUGAAGUAAAUCUUAUCAUUUAGAGGAAGGAGAAGUCGUAACA